AAUUUGAGUGGGAGAAAUAUUCUUAAUAGGAUGGAGAAAUAUUCUUUUAUAUAAAGUAGACCUCUAUUUUAGUGUUAUUCCUAAACUGAAUGGGAUUUCUAAUUAAAUUAGGAAUGAGGUAAGUGGAAAUAUUAUUUAGCUUUCAGCUAAUAGAGUGGGGGUUGUUGCCCAUUAUAGAGAAAUGUUUUGUCAAUUGUUGAGGAUUGACUUUGCCAAUUAAUGAGGCGCUCUUGCCCAUGCAUUCCUAAGGCUUAGGCCUAAGGCUGCAAUUCCAUGGAAGAAAGAGGGUUUGGCCUAAGGUGGAAAGGGCAUAGUCCAAAGGGAAGAGACUAUUAUCUAUUGUACUUAAAGAUGCCAUGUAUAAGGUAGUAAAGGUAGCAAUAUUUGUUGGGCUAUGAUAGGCUGGUUUUUCUUGGGUAUAAUUGGGUUAAUGGAUGAAAUAGUUUUUUGGGAUGAUUAUGUUUGAUUAUUAUGGAAGAUGGCAUGCUUACGGACAUGCCCUAUGUGGAGAGAGUAAACUACCUAAAUAUUAUUAUUAUUAUUAUUAU
rnacentral:misc_RNA from 1 species